rnacentral:rRNA from 1 species
CUUAGAUCGCACUUACUACUUGGAUAACUGUGGUAAUUCUAGAGCUAAUACAUGCGUUGGACUCCAAACUUUACGGUGAGGAGUGCUUUUAUUAGAUCAAAGCCAAUCGGGUCUUCGGAUUCGUUUACUUGGUGACUCUGAAUAACUUUGCUGAUCGCACGGUCUUGCACCGGCGACGUAUCUUUCAAGUGUCUGCCUUAUCAACUGUCGAUGGUAGGUUAUGCGCCUACCAUGGUUGUAACGGGUAACGGGGAAUUAGGGUUCGAUUCCGGAGAGGGAGCCUGCGAAACGGCUACCACACCUAAGGGAGGCAGCAGGCGCGCAAAUUACCCACUCCCGGCACGGGGAGGUAGUGACGAAAAAUAACGAUACGGAACUCAUACGAGGCUCCGUAAUCGGAAUGAGUACACUUUAAAUCCUUUAACGAGGAUCUAUUGGAGGGCAAGUCUGGUGCCAGCAGCCGCGGUAAUUCCAGCUCCAAUAGCGUAUAUUAAAGUUGUUGUGGUUAAAAAGCUCGUAGUUGGAUCUCGGUUUCGGGUGGAUGGUGCAUCUUGCGGUGUUUACUAUCUACUCGGACGAUUUUGUUGGUUCGUUCCUGGUUCUCUUAAUCGAGUGCCUUGAGUGGCCAGCACGUUUACUUUGAAAAAAUUGGAGUGCUCAAAGCAGGCGCUACAGCCUGAACAUUAGUGCAUGGAAUAAUGGAAUAGGAUCUCGGUUCUAUUUCGUUGGCUUUCGGAGUCGAGGUAAUGAUUAAUAGGGACAGACGGGGGCAUUCGUACUGCGACGUUAGAGGUGAAAUUCUUGGAUCGUCGCAAGACGAACUACUGCGAAAGCAUUUGCCAAGAAUGUUUUCAUUAAUCAGGAACGAAAGUUAGAGGUUCGAAGGCGAUCAGAUACCGCCCUAGUUCUAACCAUAAACGAUGUCGACCGGCAAUCUGCUCUCGUUAAAUUAAUGACUGAGCAGGCGGCCUGCUGGAAACAAGAGUAUUUGGAUUCCAGGGGGAGUAUGGUUGCAAAGCUGAAACUUAAAAGAAUUGACGGAAGGGCACCACCAGGAGUGGAGCCUGCGGCUUAAUUUGACCCAACACGGGAAAUCUCACCAGGCCCGGACACCGGAAGGAUUGACAGAUUGAGAGCUCUUUCUUGAUUCGGUGGGUGGUGGUGCAUGGCCGUUCUUAGUUGGUGGAGCGAUUUGUCUGGUUAAUUCCGAUAACGAACGAGACUCUGGCCUACUAAAUAGACGUCAGAUCAUUC